CAUGAGAGAGUUGUGGGCUGGUGUGCAUGUGAGCCGCACCAAAGGAGAGAAAGCAUGCAAAGGUGCGUGGGCUGCUGUGCUUCAGCUGCACCAAGGCAAGGGAGGGAGAGCACGGAAGAGAGGGAGUGGACUGCUUGUGAGAUGCAAGCAAGCAGUCCCACGAACUCUUGGAGCAUGUUUCAACUGGGAGUUAGCUGGGUUCAUCAAGGGUUCAAGAGAGGGUAUAUCUCUUGGGGUGAGAGUGAUUUUCACAUGUAUGAGAGAGGGUGUACAAGGGGUGUAUCCUAUUGGAUACGGGACUCGGGUUUGGGUAUAAAAAACUCUUGAGUGGUUAUUCUUGUCUUUCUUUUAUUAUAGUGAAGGUGGUCACUCCCCAGGGACGUAGUCAGGUUAUUUGUCGAAGUUUGUAAAUUCUCGGUGUGUUCUCUCAUGUAUUUACUCAUUGUCAUCUUGGGCUUCUUUGUUUUUCUAUCUUUAUUUCUUCCAUCGGGUUCGCUGUGACCAGGGGGAAACGUGUGUUUCCCCAACAUGAAGCCCCUUAACUCUUCCAUUCACUUUCAAUCACUAUUUCUCUAUCCUUAACUCUUUCUUUCGUUUUUUGUGCCUAUGGACAAUUCUCAAGACACCAACCCUUUCGCAGACCUUUACAAGUCCUCUUCUUCUGAUGUUAUCCGUCAGCCUUCUUUUCCUCCUGCUGCAUAGUAUGUUUCCUCACUCGCUCCUCACUCGCUUCUUCAAUGAGCCUACCAACCAUGCCUUUCAAACCUCUCCCUCUCCAAAUCCUAACCAAGCUCUCUCCUUUCUCACAAACAACCAAACCAUGCGCCUUUUAACUUCUCACUUCUACAAACUCUCUCUCCCAACAGUCACUUCUUCCAGCCAAACACUUUUUCCAACUCUCGCCCAAUUGGCCAAAUCUGUAAAAACCCAGGCCAUGGUGCUCUCACUUGCAGAAACUGUCUCAAUAGCUCUUACCAGGAUCACACUUUACAACCCAAACUCUUCACUCCCUCCUCCUAAGCUCCUACUUACCCCUCUACCACAUAUACUUGCACCACACCCUCAUCUUCAUCCACAACAACUUGGUAUGCUGAUUCUUGGGCCACUAAUCACCUUCCAAAUGACAUGGGCAACUUUUCUCUUAAUACACUGGACCUGACAAAUUAAUGUUGCCAAUGGUGAAUCAACAUUAUACUCUUCUCACUCAUCUUUUAACUUUAAAAAAAAUUCUUCACACUCGACAACACACAACUUGCUCUCAGUUCACAAAUUUUCCAAUGACGAAUGACAAUUUUAAUCUAACUUGCACUCAUUUCUCAUGUAUCAUCAAGGAUCAUAGUAGGGGAAAUAUCCUUUUUCAAGGCGUUAUUGAAGGCAGUCACUAACCCAUUCAUCUAUCCAAACGCAAGCCACCCUUUUUUCACUUCAAUGCCCUUGCCACAACCUCUCUUUGGCACAAAUGGCAAGGUCAUCCUUCAACUCACGUCCUCCAUCAAAUCUUAUCUACCAAUAAUCUUUAUGUUCCUCUUGAAACCCUAGACCUUCAUCUUGCUUCUACAACCCUUUUCUCCCAACCGUCCCAUCUUCACCCCCUCCCCUCAGCUCCCACUUGACCCUCUGCCUUAUACACUUCCACCACACCCUCAUCUUCAUCCACAACAACUUGGAAUGCUUAUUCUUGAGGUAUCAUCAGGGAUAAUACUGCAGGGAAAAUCCUAUUUCAAGGCGCUACUGAAGGCAGUCUCUAACCCAUUCAUCUGUCCAAAAGCAAUCCACUACUGUUUUGCUCCAACGACAUUGCCACAGCCUCUCUCUGGCACAAACAACUAGGUCCAUCAAAUCCUAUCUAUCAAUCAACUUUCUGUUCAAUGUACCUUUUUGCCAUUUUAUCAAUCUUCAUGUAAUUUCCAUUUCCCUUUUCAAUUAAUACAUUCGUAUCUAUGGGGUCCC